rnacentral:rRNA from 1 species
GGUCUAACCUGCCCAAUGAAUUAUUUAAUGGCCGCAGUAUUUUGACUGUGCAAAGGUAGCAUAAUCAUUAGUUUCUUAAUUAGUAACUGGUAUGAAUGGUUGAACGAGAAAAUAGCUGUCUCUUUAUAAAUUAUUUAGAAAUUUAUUUUUAAGUUAAAAAGCUUAAAUUUAUUUAAAAGACGAGAAGACCCUAUAGAGUUUAAUAAAAUUUGAUUUUAAUAAUAUAAAUUGAAUUUUUAUUAUUUUAACAUUUAUUUUAUUUAAUUGGGGUGAUUGAAAAAUUUAAUAAACUUUUUUUUUAUGAAAACAUUUUUUUAUGAAUUUUUGAUCCAUAAUUUUAUGAUUAUAAGAUUAAAUUACCUUAGGGAUAACAGCGUAAUUUUUUUGUAGAGUUCAAAUCGAUAAAAAAGUUUGCGACCUCGAUGUUGGAUUAAAAUUUAAUUUUGGUGUAGAAGCUAAAAUAUUAGGUCUGUUCGACCUUUAAAAUUUUACAUGAUCUGAGUUUAAACCGGUGUGAGCCAGGUUGGUUUCUAUCUUUCAAAAUUUUUAAUAUUUUAGUACGAAAGGACCAAAUAUUAGUAAAAUUUAU